UUUUUGAUUGCAUUUUGCCAAAAUCACUGGUCUCAAAACAGCAAAUGGGCUCUGAUGACCUUACAGUGAUGGAAUGCCUCGUGAGUGACGGAGAAUCACGCUGAUGGAGAAGUGAAAGUCUUUCGGCUCUGACCCCGAACAAUGAGCUCCGACGUGACGGGAGCAGACAGCCGCCAUCAUGGAAAUGUCACGGCCAACAUCAGAGACCCGGCAGCCUACUCUUUCAUUCCCUUAAUCCACAAUCCCUCCUUUCCUCUCCUGAGCGGCAUACAUAUUCAGCAGCUCAAGUCCUCACCAUUCUAAUGAGGGCUAGACCAGCGGGCUAUGAAAAAGAGGAGAGAUACGGGGAGGUGGGUGAGUGGCGGGUUAAAAGAAAGGAGAGACCGUCUUUGAACUCCUAAAGAAAGAGAGAGACGAGUGAGAGAUGAGGAUGAAUAGAUGGAUGGCUGAAGUGAUAAGAGACAGAUCAAAUGCUCCUGAUUCUUUCCUGUGGUCUUUACACAGCAGGGUUAGUUGUGUCGAUUUAAAUGCUGCUUUAAGAGAGCGUCCUGUUAUAUUUCAUCAUUUAAUUCACUCUGAGACACCUAACGCUGAAGUGUGUCUUUUUUAUGUUUGAUCUAUUUCAGUGUAAAGGGAUGCUUCACCCAAAAUGACGAUUCUAUUAUAAUUCAUGUUGGUUUAACUUCAUUUGUUCUAAAUGUUUAGCAGAACAGUCACGUCACACUGUUCCGUAAAACUUAUGUGACCACAGGUUUGGAAUGACGUAUGAGUGAUUUUAUUUUUCAACAAACUCUUCAUUGUAUAUGCAGAGACACUUAUAAGUUUGAGGCAGGUC